GCGGUUGAAACCGUUCGCGGCGCCGCGCGCCCCCGGGGAAGCCGCCCAGGCUGCCGGCCCCCUCAGCCUUCCUCAGCGGCUCCUUCUGAGGGACCUGCCGCUCUUGUGGGGGGGAGCCUGGCUUCCCCCGGCCCAACAGAUGCGAUCCAAAGAAAAAAAAGCAGGUGUAAAUUAAGUUGGAGUGAAGGGCUUCUGGUAGAAAACAGUUCUGCCAUGUGAUGCUAUCAGCGUCAAGGAGACAGCUGUCCAUAAUGCAUCGUGACAUCUGUUACCUACCGUAGUUUCCAUUAAGCACAAAUGAAGAGGAGCUCUGUUUUGUGCUUGAAGCACAAGAAGAAAGAUGAGAUAGUGUGUGGGAUGCUAAGAAGGCAAAGCAAAGGGCAAUUGGAGUCUGGAAUUGGGGCAAUAGGCAAUGACAGCCAUUAAAACCAACUUCUAUUCAGAACAAAAAGAUGGAGAACUGGAGAGAAGAAAUCCAAAGGAAGGACAAAAAGUUCAUAACAUCCUAUUUGAAUUUUGGUGGCUAUGGAGCCAGUGCUUUCUGGGAACAUCUACAUUGAUUUUGCCAUCUUGUCUCAGAGUGGUCUUCACUCAUUUAUUCUUGACUUCUGAGCCAGUUAACGUCUGACACAGCAGGCCACAGAGUACCUGCAAGUCCCAGCCACAGGACACAGUACACAGGGUCACGUUUGACUGGGAAAUUGAACUGGAUUCUGCUUCUGCUAAACUUGGUGAAAGUUUGUGGCCAAUUUACAGAGAACACAGAGCUUCAGUGAGAAUGUACCUGUCUAAAUAAAUGGGGCAAGUGGGGAGCAGAGAUUAUCUCAAAGGUGUGGAGUUUUUUCCUUGUUUUGUUGUAACCUAUUGUGAAACCUUCUAUUUCGUGCUUCAUUUAAAGUCACCUGAAGACUUUACAUUGAUUUGAAUAGAGGUUAAGUCCCACAUUUAAUUUUUAAUAUUUCAGUUCAUAUAUUUUAUCUAAUAAGGAUAAUAAUCAGCAUGGUUGGAACCUAUAGAAUUCAUAAAUUAUAUUGUUAGAGUAAUUACAAUAUUAACUCAUAAGCUAUCAAAACUAACCCUCGAAAU